CGAGGGCCGAGGGCGAGCUGUUGCCGGUCGCCUGCCUUCCUUCAGCCACCUGGGGGGACCUCACGCAGCUCGUCAUCUCUGGGGUGCUGGCGUGGGUCCCUCGAGGUCCGGCGGCGACUGUAAAUAGAGCCUGGAUGUUGUUUACAUGAAAGAUCCGGCGGGAGGAGUCUGCGAGGAGGAGGCGGAGGAGGAGGAGGGAGGGAGGAAGGAGAGAGGAAGACCGGAGUCCCCGCGGCGGCAGCGGCGGCGGCGGUCCGGGUUGAGGGCCAAGGAGUCCUUUCUCUCACUCUGCUGCCCACUCGCCAGAAGCCACCUUCUUGGAGAAGGACCACAUCUGUGCUUAUUCCAGCUUUGGAGGAGAGAUGUAGAAUAGAGGAUCUGAGAAAGGUGAACUCUGCAGAAAAGAGGAAUAUAAUUGUGUUUCUGGAACAGCCCCCGGUUCUAGAAUUGGAGGUCAGUACAAGUCUUUGGUAUUGCCCCUUUUAGCUGCCUGUUAAGGGAAUUUGAGAAUUUAAGACCCAGCAUUUUUAAAUGGCACCGCUGCAGUAAUGAGAUCAUGAGUUAAUUGGAGACAGGGUUUUUAGAGAUGGUUAGCUAGGGGCACAUCAUUUUAACUAGUUACUCUAAGGGUAUAAUGCCAAGGUGAAAUCAGAGUAAAAGUGACUUGUCAGCAGAUUGUAAAGUCCAAACUCUUGCGGGGGGUGGGGGUGGGGAAAUGGGAUCUAGAGCAAAAGCAGAAAGUAAAGUAACUGUGGAGUAGACAGUUGGACUAAAUGUAUGCUGAGUGAACGUGUAAGGGGUAACCUAUAUAACAGAAUUUAUGGGCCAGUCCAUUUAUUUGUGAAUUUUAGUCUCCUGGAGACUUUUAAAGCAAGAAAGUGCAUUCCUCUUUCUGUCUGUACGUUAUUGUGAACAUCGGUCUUUUCCUCCAGGUGAACCUGCUAACGUUAUGAAGCAUGAGACUAUGUAGAGGUCAGUGCUUAAAGUAGGUAAAACAAUGACACCCCCAGUUUAUGCUUCUCUGUGAGAAUUGGGGCAGACUUUGCACAGGGCAGUGGUCCUUAGCUUUUUCUUGCCUUUUCAGCCUAUUUCUCUCUCAUUUUAAAGUUUCCUGUUAAACUUUGGCACAAGUUAAAUUCAAAACAUUCUUAAUAGUGCAAAGCUUUGCAAUAAAAUGCAAAUACACAUUCUCUGCACCUCUUGCAAAGCAGUAUUUUGUUGACAGUACAUUCUUACAAUAUCACAGUUUGGUCAAAUUUGCGUCUAUUAUAAUGUCACUGAGUUGAAUUAUGGUUUUCACAUUGGGGGAAAAACUCACACUUCAGUAGAAGACUGGUAGAUUUAAAUUAACCUAUUUUAGUUUAAAAGUAUUUUCAAAUACUUUGUAUUGCUAGCAGCUUACUGAUACUUCCAAUUAUUUACUAUAUAAUCAAAAUCAUUAUAUUUUCACUUUCAGUCCAUAGAUAAGAGGGACAUAAGAUGUUUUUUGUAUGUAUUUUAAAAGCAAGUCCUUUAGUAUACCAGUUGCCAGAAGUACUCGAUUUUGUAGAUGAUAAUAUUCAGUGCCUGCAUCAUGAAGAAAUUGUUCUCAGUUGUAUCACUUUUAUGAUAGAAGAACUGAAUUUAAAAUCAAUUUACUCUCUGGAGGAAAGCACUUUAUAUCACUUUCUUUUUCCCUCUGUUACUGCACGCUGUACUUUCAUGCUGU